UACGAAGGGGGCUAGCGUUGUUCGGAAUUACUGGGCGUAAAGCGCGCGCAGGCGGUCUUCCAAGUCAGUGGUGAAAGCCCGGAGCUCAACUCCGGAACUGCCAUUGAAACUGUUGGACUUGAGUACGAGAGAGGUGAGUGGAAUUCCCAGUGUAGAGGUGAAAUUCGUAGAUAUUGGGAAGAACACCGGUGGCGAAGGCGGCUCACUGGCUCGUUUCUGACGCUCAGGCGCGACAGCGUGGGGAUCAAACAGG
rnacentral:rRNA from 1 species